rnacentral:rRNA from 1 species
UACGGAGGAUCCGAGCGUUAUCCGGAUUUAUUGGGUUUAAAGGGUGCGCAGGCGGGAGAUUAAGUCGGCGGUGAAAUUUUGCAGCUCAACUGUAAAAGUGCCUUCGAAACUGGUUUCCUUGAGUGUGGAUGAAGUAGGCGGAAUUUGUGGUGUAGCGGUGAAAUGCAUAGAUAUCACGAGGAACUCCGAUUGCGCAGGCAGCUUACUAAGCCAUAACUGACGCUCAGGCACGAAGGCGUGGGGAUCAAACAGGAUUAGAUACCCGGGUA